CAGCCUGUAUUCAUUUUGUACUAGGAGCUACUUCCGCAUAGCCCAUAGCGGGUUGGACUGUCGGCUUUUUCCGGAGAAUGCCGAG